rnacentral:rRNA from 1 species
GACGAACGCUGGCGGCGUGCCUAACACAUGCAAGUCGAACGGAGUCGGCCCCGCAAGGGACUGACUUAGUGGCGAACGGGUGAGUAACGCGUGAGCAACCUGCCUUUCAGUGGGGGACAACAGUUGAAACGACUGCUAAUACCGCAUAAUGCAUUUUGACCGCAUGAUCGAGAUGCCAAAGAUUUAUUGCUGAAAGAUGGGCUCGCGUCUGAUUAGAUAGUUGGUGGGGUAACGGCCCACCAAGUCGACGAUCAGUAGCCGGACUGAGAGGUUGACGACCUACAUUGGGAUUUGAGAUUACGGCCCAGGCUCCUACGGGAGGCAGCAGUGGGGAAUAUUGGUCAAUGGGGGAAACCCUGACCCAGCAGCGCCGCGUAAAGGAAGAAGGCUUUCGGGUUGUAAACUUCUUUUACCAGGGACGAAGAAAGUGACGGUACCUGGAGAAAAAGCCACGGCUAACUACGUGCCAGCAGCCGCGGUAAUACGUAGGUGGCAAGCGUUGUCCGGAUUUACUGGGUGUAAAGGGCGUGUAGGCGGAGAUGCAAGUCAGAUGUGAAAUCCCCGGGCUUAACCCGGGAACUGCAUUUGAAACUGUAUCCCUUGAGUAUCGGAGAGGCAGGCGGAAUUCCUAGUGUAGCGGUGAAAUGCGUAGAUAUUAGGAGGAACACCAGUGGCGAAGGCGGCCUGCUGGACGACAACUGACGCUGAGGCGCGAAAGCGUGGGGAGCAAACAGGAUUCGUUACCCUGGUAGUCCACGCUGUAAACGAUGAAUAUUAGGUGUGGGGGGACUGACCCCUUCCGUGCCGCAGUUAACACAAUAAGUAUUCCACCUGGGGAGUACGACCGCAAGGUUGAAACUCAAAGGAAUUGACGGGGGCCCGCACAAGCAGUGGAUUAUGUGGUUUAAUUUGACGCAACGCGAAGAACCUUACCGGGAUUUGACAUCCUACUAACGAAGUAGAGAUACAUUAGGUGCCCUUCGGGGAAAGUAGAGACAGGUGGUGCAUGGUUGUCGUCAGCUCGUGUCGUGAGAUGUUGGGUUAAGUCCCGCAACGAGCGCAACCCCUAUUGUUAGUUGUUACGAAAGAGCACUCUAGCGAGACUGCCGUUGACAAAACGGAGGAAGGCGGGGAGGACGUCAAAUCAUCAUGCCCCUUAUGUCCCGGGCUACACACGUAAUACAAUGGCGAUCAACAGAGGGAAGCAAAGCCGCGAGGCAGAGCAAAUUCCCAAAAGUCGUCUCAGUUCGGAUUGCAGGCUGAAACCCGCCUGCAUGAAGUUGGAAUUGCUAGUAAUCGCGGAUCAGCAUGCCGCGGUGAAUAAAAUGCCGGGCCUUGCACU